AUUUCUUAAAUUAUAAGACUUAAGUCAAAAUAAUUACUGGAUCCAUGGGCUGCGGAAUGGAUGUUGCAUGAGCAGGAAUCAAACCAACGUGAUCUUGUACAUCUUCAUCAGAACUCUUGGAUCUCUUUAUCAGCUUCCUGGGACAUAAAUUAAAGAAUUAAGCAUGUGAGUUGUAUUUUUUCCUGCCAAAAUGGAGUCUUCUCCCAAAUUCACAUGGAAACAAAUUGCAGAAGCUCCCCCAGGCAGGAUGAGGAUCCAUCUAAGAAAGCAGCUGAAUCUCCCCUACCCCCCAAGGUAUGAAGACCAGUAGAAACACCUGCACUUCAAUUAAAGGGCUCAGUGAAGGCCAGGACCCAUACAAUACAGGCAAGUGAGGAGAUAAUGAUUUUAAGACUGCAGAUACCGGAGGCUUCUAUAUGUCAGAGAUUUAAAGACAACAGUGACAGCCCCAAUUCUGAAGGAACUGACAUUCUAGUAGAAGAAACAAACUUUUAACAAAUAAUUAAAGUGCAUGAAGUAAGUAUGCCAAGUUAUUUUAGA